rnacentral:rRNA from 1 species
CAACUUUUAACAACAGAUCUCUUAGUUCUAGUAUUAAUAAAGAACGCAGCGAAAUGCG